GCUAUAUUGUGAAAAAUAUUAGAAUCAAAAAUUAUUUAUUAUUAGUAGUUAAUUUUAAUUUUUUCUUAUUUUGGCGAAAAUUAUUUAUAUUGUAAAGGGUCUGAACGAAAUUUAACUGAAAAAUGUCAUCAGGAAUGAAACGAGAGACACAAAUAAUAUAGAGGUGUAUAUUACCGUAAUUGUUAUUUAAGCCAGAAUUUUCUUUUUUUUUAAAUAAAUAACAAAAAACCCAGUAUUCAAUUCUAUAUAGUUGAAAAUAUACAACUUUACAAAGAACACAUUUAAUUUACUGCGUAUUUUAUAUACAGAGUGAUCGUGGAUUGUAUUGCACGACGGAUUCGUGAUAUAAAAAUUAUUUUUUCCUUUUGUCUAUUAUUGAAAUAAAUUGAAUUCAAAAGAAAAAAAUUUUUUUUUUAAUAAAAAAAAAAAAUUAAUAAACAAUUUUUUUAUUGUUUGUAAAUAAUUUCUAAAUUUUUUUUCGUUACUUGAUAAAUAAAAAGAUUUGAAAUUUUCAACUUUGAAAAUUUUAUAUUUUUGAAAAUAUUACAAAAAUUCCCCCUCCUUCCUAUUGGGCCUUACAAUUGUCGGAUAAUAAUUUAUGAAAUAUUGCAAUUUGUUUAUAUCAUGAAUUUGUAAAUUGUUAAUGAAAAAAAUAUGUAAUAACAAUAUAUGGAAAUAUUUCAUUAAUAGGGAAAAAACAAAAUGUCAAUCGAAUAUUAUAUAUUAAAAAAAACUGAUUAUGUUGAAUAAAAAAAUUCAGAAACGAAGUGCUAUUGUUUGUGAAACAGAAAAUUGUAUUGUUGAUGAAAGGAAAUGUUUGUGAGAAUAAAAAAAAUAAAAAAGGAACUAUCUUAAAAAAAUGAAAUAUUUGUUUAAAAUUGUUUAGGUAUUUUAGUAAGUUCUCCACAUUCUUAAUUUUUUCUGAUUUUUGUAAUUUUUUUGUAUUUUUGUAUUUUUUUUACUUCAUUUUUCGUUUAUCAAAAUAUUAUUAUUAUUGUUGUUAUUAAUGUGGAGGGAAUGCAUAUUGACCACAAUUUAGGGUGCAAUUAUUUUUUUUAUUUUCACUUACAUUGUCACUUUGACUUUUAUUUUAAAUCAGAAAUUCAUUUUUAUUGUUUCAUUUGACGUUCAUUUUCACCGAACAGUCAAAAUCAGUCGCAACAAAAAUGAAAAUGAAGAAAAUAAGAAUGUAUAAAAGUGAAGAAAUAGAAUGAAAUUAUUAAAAAAUAUAUAUAUUAAGAUACGCGUGUAGGGUGAUUUUAAAUGGAAAAAAAUAGAAAAACAAAUGAGCGGUUAAAUUGUUAAAUAAGAUCACUCUGUGUAAAUAUACCUAAUAUAAUUAAGAACUUUCUCAAAUAAGAACAAAAAAAGCACUGAUAGCUUCUUGACUAAAAAAAAUCUUAGAGUUCAAUCAUGUAAAUAUUACAGAUGCAUUAAACGCUCAGGAAGUUCACGUCGUAUUAAAUAAAAAAAAUAAAUAAUGAAAUAAUAAAUAUAAUACUAUAUAAUACGAUAAUGCACAAUUAAAAAAAAAUUAAGUGGGCGUGUAUGUGUGAAAUUUUUUUUUAAAAAAAGAAGGACAUAAUGUUGUGCGAGAAUUGUAUAUUAUAUAUGUUCAGUAAUUUACAUCUAUUUUACGGUAAUUUACAUCGCUAAUGAACAUAAAUGAAAAAUAAAAUAAAUAAAAGCGUCGGCAGAGAGCCUCCGUCAGCCGUUGCCACACGUCUUUAUAAAUAAUCGAUAAAGAAUGUAAGUAACGUGUAGAUAUAUCAUAGUUAGAUACAACGAUCUCAAAAUGACGUGGAUCGCUAAAAUCUUUUAUGGUCGUUGAUAUUAAAAAGCGUUAAGCACUGAAAAGAAAAAUUUUUUGGUCCUAGUAGUAAAAAAUUUGGUUGGCUGACAAAAAAUAAGAAAAUAUCGUAUUCGACUAAACAGUUUUUUAUUGCUCAUAUUAAAAAUAUUUUUAGAUUUAAUUAAAAUAUUUUUCUAAAUUAACCAGACUAUUUGAAUUAGUCAAAAUAUUUGCCUAAAUCGACUACAUUUUUUAUGUAGGGUAGGGUGGGGCAUUACAAUUCGCGGGGCGUAACUAUUCUUUAGUCCUGAAGAGAAAACUAUUCAUCCGAUUGAAGUCCCUUUUACACUGUAUACUUGUCAUAUGAAAUGAACAUUGUACGUCACAUUCAGGAAGGAAGAGUAAGGAGACCGAACUCUGUGUAGAAAGCGCUUUAAAAAUCUCAGAGAAAUAUGCACGAAAAGUGCCAGGCUCACUGUGUUCUAGUCGACCUCCAAUUAAGUUGAUCAUGCGCAUAAGCUUUGUUGUGUCUCUGUUUCUCGUAAAAAUUGUGCGAGUGAGAUGUAAGAUCUAAUGUUUACAUCUAGCCCGCCUUAGUGAGAUACAUACAUAUACAAUACAUUUCGUUUUAAUAAUUAUUUAUUUAUUUUAUUUAAAAAAUGUCGUGUUGUGUGCCAGGAUGUAAAGAAAGAAAAAGAGUCUAAAAACAUUAGUCUCUUCUAUCCUUCUACGUUCAAUGCGCAUGAUCGACUUAAUUGGUGAUCAACUAGAACACAGUGAGUCUGUCACUUUUCGUGCAUAUUUCUCAGACAUUUGUAGAAGCAGAGUUCGGUCUCCUUACUCUUCCUUCCUGGUUUUUACUCAUUUAGUCUGCCAUUGUAAAUAGUGAUAAACGGUCGGAAAAAUUAUUUCUAAAGUCGAAUUUAGUGCUGAACACGAAUAUCAUAAUCGAUUUUUGAUAUUCUAUUGUUCAAAAAUUUUACAAGUGUUUUUCAAAAAAUGUGCGGAUGGGUCGAAACUAUUCGCCCACUGAUAACAGCGAAAACUAUGAAACAGUGUAUUUUUUGUGUUCUUGUUUUUAGGUUAGAAUGGUAAGAAAUUGAAAGAUAAAAACCAGAAAAAAUCCUACAAUUAACAAGUUAAUUUUUAUAUUUUUUUAGUAUUAUAUCAUUAAUAGCUGCAAGAAUAGUUACGCCCCUUGUUUUUUUCGACAUAAAAAAAAAAUUCGUAAAAUCGCUGUAGUUUGGAACAGAAUCAAGUUACAGCAAAAUAAUACAUGGCAAAAUUGUAGCUAAGAAGUCAAGUUUUCAAACGGUCCUACUCAUUUAUUUAUUUUUUUUAAAUACACUUUUUAGACUCAAAAAUCCAAACAAGAAUAGUAAUGCCCCACCCUACCUUAAUUAUUAAAAUAAUCUAUAAUUAUUAAUUUAUUUAAUCUAAAUCAAACAAUUUGGCUGACUCAGUCAUAUAUUCUGGUUAAAUCAAACAAUUUGGUUGACUUAGUCAAAUAUUUUGGUUAAAUCAAACAAUUUGGUUGACUUAGUCAAAAUUUUGGUUAAAUCAAACAAUUUGGUUGACUCAGCCAAAUAUUUUGGUUGAACAAAACAAUUUAGUAAAUAAUUGUUUUUAAUAAUAAUGAAAGUAAUAAUAAUUAUUUAAAAUAAUUGUCUAAGUCAAUCAAAGUAUUUACUUGAAUUAACCAAAGUAUUUGCUUGAGUUAACAAAAGUAUUUGCUUGGAUAAACAAAAUUGAUUACUGCAACCGAAAUAAUUGCCUGAGUAAAUCAAUAUUUAUAAUAAUCAAAAUUGAGUUAACCAAUUUUUAUAUUAGAUUAAAUAAUUGUUUGAGUCAAUCAAAUUAUUUCAUUCAGCCAAACUAUAUGUGUUUGAAGUAACCAAAUUGGUUAACUUGAGUUAUUAAUUAUCUAUCUAUUUGGUUUAAGUUAACGGAAUUGUUUUGUUUAACCAAAAUAUUUAGCUGAGUUAAACAAAUUGUUUUUUAACCAAAGUAAUUGUCUGAGUUAACCAAAUUCUUUUUCUUAACCAAAAUAAUUAUAUGAGGUUAACCAAUUUUUUUUAUUAACCAAAAUAAUUGGCUGAGUUAAACAAAUUGUUUUAUUUAACUAAAAUAUUUGGCUGAGUUAAUCAAUUUGUUUGGUUUAUCCAAAAUAUUCGUUUGAAAUAACCUAAGUGUUUUGAUUAACCAGAUUUGACUGAGUGAACUAAAUUGUUUGGUUAAGUCCAAAUACUUGUCUGAAGUAUUUAAAUUCUCUCGAUUAGCCAAAGUAUUUGUUUUGAAGUAACCAAAUUGAUUUGUUCAACUAAAGUAUACUUUUGUUUUAAUCAAAAUGUUUGCUUGAGUCAACCAAUUUUUGUUGUGCAAUCCCUCUGAGCAAAAGGAUAUCCCAGGGAUAUCCUAGAGAUAUCUCGCGGGAUAUUGAGAUAUCCCUGGGAUAUCCAAAUUUCCAUGCCAUGGGAGACUCGCGCGGGAUAUCCAAAUAUUCUCCACACGGGAUAUGCUACGUGAGAAAUAGUAAUAUGUUGAAAAAUAAUUAAAGCUUUAAAGAGUUGAAAAACCAUUAUUUAAUUAUAACUAGAAUGAGAAAAAAAUUAUUUUAAAAAUAAAAGAUUAUUUGACUAAUAUCAAAGUUAUAUUUUUGUGAUUUAAUAAACAUUAGUUGAAUUCAAUAAAAUGUCUUUUUAACGCUAAACAUUUAUUGUGUGUGGGUUUAAACUAAUUUUGGUCAAUUCAUAUCGUCUAUUACUGAUGAAUAUUUAUUGGUUAAAGAUAUUUACAAGAAACUAAAAAAAUGUGAAAGUUAAACAUAUUAAACAGCAACACUUAUAAUCACACACUGCAAAACACAAACUUCUGAUGCGCUUCUAAUCUAAUGACGCGACGCCAUGGUCGCCAUGACACUCAACAGCUGGGAAGGUCGAAGCAUGCGUGUGUAAGAUUAUAUGAGUACAUAUAUAUAAAAUUUUAUUUCUUCUUGUUUAAAGGGAAAAAUAUACUGGAUUUUCAGUAAUUAAUCUAGUAAUUCAUGCAGUAUUUGUUUAGAAUGUAGUUAGAAUAAAUAUUUGAAUAAUUUAAUAUAUCAUCUACCAAAAAAAGUAACUAAAAAAUCAUACACUUUAAGCUGAAUUUAUAAAUAUAUUUAUUUUCCACUUUCGUUAAUUUAAUGCAACAAAUAUCUAAUCAAACUUUUUCUAAUUUAAAUGCGUUAAAUAUAAUUUCACAGCUCUUUGACACACACUCUUUGACACUUGGAACGAUUGCAUUUCGUUUCCUGCGCAUGCGCUGACAUAUCCCACGCGGGAUAUCCCACACGGAAUGCCCCACGAAAGAAAACUUUGCAUAUCCCGUGGAUAUCCAAAUUUCCGUCCCGUGAGAUAUCCUAGGGAUAUCACGGGAUGGAAAUGGGAUAUUCGCGGGAUAUCCCGUGCUGUGAGGGAUGAAAAUAUUUGUCUAAAAUAACCAAAUUUGUCGUUUAGCCAAAGUAUUUAUUUAAAGUAACGAAAUUAUUUGAUUUAGAUAUAAAAUUUGUUUAAAGAAACCAAAUUGUUUUGUUGAACCAAAAUGUUUGGCUAAGUUAACCAAUUAUUUGAUUGACUUAACCAAUUUCUUAAUAAUAAUUACAUGAGUCAAUCAAAUUAUUUGAUACAUCCGAAAUAUUUGUUCGAAAUAACCAAAUUGUUUUGUUGAACCAAAAUAUUUGGCUGAGUCAACGAAAUUGUUUGGUUCAAUCAAAAUAUUUUAAAUCUGAAAUAACCAAAUUUUUCGUUCAACCAAAAUAUUUCCCUAAUGUAACGAAAUUAUUUGAUUUAGGUAAUCAAAAUUACACUCAACCAAUAAACUUUAUUGCCAGGACAAAUUAUUUUUUUCUCAUUUAGUGUAAUUUACACAAUUUGACAAGAAAUAUAUUAUACAUAUAUAAAUAAAUAUUGCAUUGAGUAUCGCGCAACAAGAACGGCUAUGGUUGAAUCGUGAAUUGGUUCUGACCAUUAUUUUUGAGCAAUUUUCUUUGUUUGCAAUUUUAAUUUUUUUAUUUAUCAUUUUUCUUUUGCCAUUUUUAACUAAAAAGUGAAUUUUUUUAAUUUACGUGUCUUUCUUCAAUUGCUUCAAAUCGCGCUUCUAAUAAUUAUUAUGAGUGAAAGAGAGAGAGAGAGAGAGGUUUAUCUUUCGUACAAUGAUUUCCCACCUACUUCCGUACCUGAAAGCCAUUUUGUGAGAGAAAAAAAUCGAAAAUAUAAAAAACUGUAUUAAAAAGUGCAUUAGCCGUUAUAAUAUAUGGAUGAAAGUCAAGAGUAAUUUUUGACUGAAUUCCAAAUAAUUGCAGACUGACUAUAUGUGGUUAAGAACAAGGCGAGUGGUCAUUGUUACAGAGAGGCUUUAUAUCGAACAAUGAUUUUUUCCAUUGUUAUAUUUAUUAAUUAUUAUUAUUUUUAUUAUUAUUGUUACAUUAAUAUUGUUUUAACGAAAGUAAGAAAUCGUUUCGACCAAUCACGUAUCUUAUGGCUGACGGGUACAUAAAUAUUUCAGCGCAAUAGCUCUGUAUCGCUUUGCACACGCGUUAAAUCAGUAUUACAUUUAUAUUUAUUAAUAAUUUUCACAAAAAGCGUUGUAUUUUGUAGUUCAAAUAAAAAAAUUGUUGUGAAAUCGCAAAUAAAAUUUGGGGAAAUUUUUUACAAAAGUGAAUAGUUGACUCAUUGAGUAUUACAGUGUUAGGUAACUGUUACAUAACUAAUUAAUAACAAAGAUUGUAAAAUUUUUCGAUUAGUAAAAUAUUAAUAAAAUUAAUGUUAAGUAACAGUUACUGCUUGAAAAUUCGAAAAUAUAAAAAGGAAUGUUUUGUUUGCGAUUUCUUAUGAUAACUUUGAAAAUCUUUGUCUUCGAAUUUUUUCACUUCUUUUAAUUGCCAAAUGACUGAAAUCUGAUUUAAGAAAAAGUGAUGAUUCGUGACAGAGCUAAAUGCGAGGUUUAAGUGAUCGCGUUGAUAUGCUUACGGUUAUGAUGAUUAUGAUUGUGGUUAUGAUUAUAUUAAUAUAUAUAUAUAUAUAUAUAUAUAUAUAUAUAUAUAUAUAUAUAUAUAUAUAUAUUAGGGU